rnacentral:lncRNA from 1 species
CCCCAAAUCCCACCGUGCGAGGUCCUUGUGCAAGGCUCUGGGGUGAGGUCCUCGUGCAAGGCCCUUGUGCAAGGUCCUCGUGCAAGGUCCUCGUGCAAGGCUCAUCCUUGUGCAAGGCUCCACGAUUGUACGAGCGAGAUCCUUGUAUGAGGUCCUUGUGCAAGGUCCUCGUGCAAGGUCCUUGUGCAAGGUCCUUGUGCAAGGCUCAUCCUCGUGCGAGGUCCUUGCACGAGCCUCAUCCUUGUGCAAGAUCUUCAUACAAGCUCUCCAUGCAAGGCUUCCCUUGUGCAGAGCUCAUCCUCGUGCCACCUCCUUGCACGAGCCUCAUCCCCGUGCGAGAUCCUCGUGCGAGAUCCUCGUGCAAGCUCUCCAUGCAAGCCUUCUCCUUGCGCCAGCUCCUUGCACGGGGCCCAUCCUCGUGCGAGACCCUCGUGCAAGACGAGACCCUCAUGCAAGACCCUCGUGCGAGAGGCCCCCUCCUCGUGCAAACCUCAUGGGCGAGAUCCCUGAGAGCCUUGCACGAGGACGACCCUCACACUAGGACAACCCUCACACGAGGAUGAUCCUUGCACGAGGGCGACCCUCGCACGAGGGCGACCCUUGCACGAGGGCAAUCCUCACAUGAGGGCGAUCCUUGCAUGAGGGUAAUCCUUGCACAAGGGCGACCCUUGCACGAGGACAACCCUUGCACAAGGGCAAUCCUCACACAAGGGUAAUCCUUGCACGAGGGCAACCCUUGCACGAGGGCAAUCCUCACACAAGGGCAAUCCUCACACAAGGGUGACCCUUGCACGAGGGCGACCCUUGCACGAGGGCGAUCCUCACACGAGGGUGACCCUUGCACAAGGGCAAUCCUCACACUAGGGCAAUCCUCGCACGAGGGCAACCCUUGCACGAGGGCAACCCUCACACGAGGGUAAUCCUCGC